UGGGGCGGCCCAAGUGCAGGGAUUCUGGGCGCAAUGGCGGCCUCGGUAAUGCACGUCUGACUAGUCAGUGGGACCGGGCCUGGGCACCCACAACCAUCGGUAAAAAUACAGCUUCACUUCUUUUCUCGACGAACGAAGCAGGGAAAGGUCUCCCUCCCAGCUAGGACGAAUGCUGCUCGCUGGCAAUAGAUGCCGCCCUUCGCAAGUCCACAUUUCUUUUCUUUUUUGCCUCGAGAUUUAGCAUCCUCGGAACAAGAAACGAAAAAACAGCGAAAAGCCACUUAUCUUUACAGGGCGCUUUCUCCAUAAAGGCAAACACACUUGAAAUCCUGAUUUCCAUGAAGCGCAAUCAGACCUUCAUUGACGGUAGACGUGCAGAGCUCUUUCAAUCGAGCGAGAUCCUUCCUAGGGCCCCAAAAGCAGGGACGUUAAUCGCAGAUGAUGGCAUGGAUUCGAGCUGUCCAACCGAUGCAAAGUCCUCUGCCAAUUCAGGAGGGCACAGCAAGCCACCACUUGAUUUCAUUUUCCUGAUGUGAAUCUACUCAGUCCCAGAGAAUACCUGAGCUAUCUGGAGAUGCAACUGAAUGCUUUGAGGUCCCGGUUCUGUGUUUUUCUAUGGCUCUUAAAAGUGCCCUCAAGUCAUAAUCAAGGCCAUCUUGACACAUUUCAUUCUUUUAACUUUGCUGAAGUUACACAGUAGUCUUCAUACAAAUAUUAGAGGGAAACGGCAACGUUUGUCCAACUUACCUAGAUUUUCAUUUUUGAGCAUUCACGGGCUCAAUUUCCAUGUUAGAAUAAUGUGUUAACUUAGCAUAAAGACUUGAAGCCUAUAGGAGUCAGUACUCAACUUUCUGUCUUGAUUACACAUAGUAUAAUUUGUAUUUGCACUUCUGGGUUCAUCAGCUGUCUCAAUGCAAAGGCCGGUCUGAGUCUGCGAACAGCCAGUACUGCUGAAACCAUAUUGCGCAUAAUUUGUCUGGGUAAGUCGAAAAAAGGUGUAUUUCCCAAAGUGUUGGUGUUUUCCGUUAAUACUGAGCACUGACCUUUAUUUCUAACAUGUAGGAUGAGAUUUUCUAUGUGGAUAAUAGUUUAUAUCUGCCACAGUUGUGUGAGUAGAAUUCACAGGGCUUGCUCCCCUGGCAGAAUUGUUGCAAUACAGUUAUUACAAUUGUGAACAAGCAUUUUAUUUUUUGAGUUUACUUUUUCUAAAAUUAUUCACAAAGUUAGCACAACCGCACUAUGUGGACCAAACUGAAGGUUUUUUAAAUUGCUUCGGCAAAGAAAUGCAUUCAAUGAAUGCACUGAAUGAACGGUUUUAAAAUAUUGAAUGCAUUUCUCAUUCUGGCUCAACCAAAAAACUUUCAUAUUUCUACACAAUAGAAUAUUUCCAAAUUCUUGUCUAUUCUAUUCCAAAACUCAAGUGAAAAAUCUCACAAUAAGGGUAAAGUUCAAGUGCAUAGCAAUUUGCUUAGCCACAAGUACUAUACUGAAAUGCAUUUCAAAACCCCCAGCAAACUGUAAUAGUUAUAGAAACAAAGUGCUGAGUGAAGGCAAUGCAGAUUGCGAAUUGGUUAUUGAACAUACCUGAUUCAGUAGGAGUCCUGCCCAGUUAGACCUAUUGCGGGAAUUUCAAUUUUGUGAAUGAUUUUGUUCAAGAUGAACCCAGGCUGAAAUAUAAAAGUGGAUGAAAGAGGAAGACAAAUGGCAUGACGAUGGAGAGGGAGAGGGAAUGGGAGAGGAGAGGAGUAUGAAUACGUGGUGCCAUUCAACAUAGAAAAUGGAUGUUGGAUGCCUGGAUAUAUCAGCCGAUGAUUGCCAUGGAUGGAUCAGGCAUGCACAGUGGUUCUUUCCUAUAGCAAGAGAGGACAUAAGGUGUGAUGUGAGAGCAUUUUUCACUAUGAUCAAUUUUACAUUACAUAACAUUUUACUGUAUUACAGCAUUCUCAUUUUUAAUUCUCAUUUUCAUUUGUAAUGGCUGUGUGCCAAUAAAUAAUUUACUGCAGCAUUUCUAUGACUUGUUCCUGUUACAUAUACUGGAGUACAUUCCAGAUGUGCCUUGCUGUUUCGUUGUGAAAUGUUAACAAAAAGAUAAAAUAAAAAUAGUUAUAUUGCACACAUUAUCAGCCAAAGAAUAAAGUGGUAAUUGUAAUAACAAAAGAGAAAAACAAAAUGGAUUUAUUACUUCAAAGACUGACAUAAAAUAAUGAAUCUACUGUAAUGCCACCUGUCUUUGGUGUUUUUAGAUCAUUAUGCUAUCGUUGUUGGAAGAAAACAAGCGCUGAUGCUUUGGUAGAAUGAUUUUAUUUCAGACACGUUUUGGUAGUUUUGGUGCAUUUUGAGUAUGAAAUGAACUAUCGUGCCAGGCUGUUGGUGUUUUAUUGUUUUGGAACAGUAAAAAAAAUCAGGAAGCAUCUGGUUGUAAUAGGGAAAAAUUCAAUUUUUACAAUUUUUCAGUUAUAUGCACUUUGAAAAUGGAGUAGAGGGCAUCAAAUAACUGCAUGUCCCAUUGAUGCUGUGCCCCAAACAAAUUAGCAAUGGCAUAGUAGCAUGAACCUGUGGCAAACCACCAGAGCGCAAUAGUCACUCGUUUGUGCACAGAUACGGGGGCAUGAAGAUGAGAGUCAGUGAAGACAAGACAGCAGCUGUUCACAAAUGUGGUUGAAGGUGUGCUUUCGCAUACGGAAAUUGAGAACCCAGUCGGAAUCUGUGAAAUUAUGCGUGAAAUUAUGUGCAAUAUGGUUCUGCCAGUACUGGCUGUUCGCAGACUCAUACCCUCCUUUGCACGGAAACAGCUGAUGAACCCAGAACUGCGAUACUCGCAUUAAUAGUGUACCUCUGCUGCUGUCUCCGCAUCAGUAUAUGCCUUGUGUGGGCCCUACCUUAACUUAAUGUGAACAUAAUGAAAAGAAGCACAGCCUCACUAUUUUCCAGGAAUUUUGUUUCCUGUUUUAUGUAGUAGUUAAAUAUUGCACAUGAAAUCAACACUGUGUUCUGAUCAGUGGCGUAGCUAGACCCUUACUGGGAAGGCUUUAACCCCCCCAUAGAGCCUAUUCAGCCCCCCCACCCUAGGAAAUUUAGCCUAAGUUAUUGUAUUUAUUAAAAAAUAAUAAUAAUAACUUGUUGGCUCACUAACUAGUAGACAUCAGCGAAUCCAUAAAGAAUAUGCAUCAUUUCCAAGGGGGAUGCUUCUAUACUAUUAUAAACCGUCAAUUCAACAAAUCUUUCUAUUUCAUGGUUACUCGCUUCUUUAAAAACAACUACCAGAGCCUAUGAACAUGUCGAACAUAUGCAGAGAAUGUAUUGCAAAACAAUAUUCAUGAAAUUAUCUGUGGUAGGUUACUUUCUUUGAAAACAGUAGCAUAUUUUCCUCUUUUCUGAUAUGCAAAGAUUGCUGGGAAAAUAUGCUACUGUGUAGGCUAUGUUGUGGUCCAAUGUAAGAGCAAGUUUUUUAAUAAUGUGAUGAUGCUGAGUGAUGUAAUUACAUACUAGUUUUGGUGGUGAAAUUUGAACAUCAGCUGGUUAGCGAGGAAAGUUGUGUUGUGUAGCAAAGCCUUCAUGCUGAACCGUAACCGAUUCUGACAAUGUAGUAAACCCACACGCACCAUUUCUGUGAAAGCACCAGAUCCAAACUAUAAAUACGAUGGGUGAGGGUGUGUUUAUUUGCCUAAAUUUCUCUGAUCUACAGCUACCACUAAUUCUAGAAAUAUUCUCAAAUUUGAGAUAGAACAAAUGUCAAAGCAUGUACAUCCAGAAAUUCAUGUUUAAAUCCAUGUUUAAAACUUUUUAUCUGAGUUGUGUAUAAAUAGAAACAAAACAUAACCAUGAUUCAAAUGUUUACCUCUGGGAAGUAUUUUGGUACUGUAUUCACUUCCGGAAACAGACUUUUCAGCUCUUUCAUGAUAAUACAAACCUUUUUCAUGAUGAAAAAGGGCACUGCUGCCCCACUACUGUCGGAACCUGCAAGUCCGUCAGACCGCUGUGGAUUAGUGCGCUAACAUAUGCCUCCUGGUGGUGGUUGUGUGAACAACAAGUAAUUACUGUGAAAAAAAAAGUAUCUGUAGGCAGAAACACCAAAUAAAACA